CCUAUCGGAUUGGCUGAACUGUGGUUUUUUGGUGGUGUAAUAGCGGUAUAUUGCUGGAAUGCAGGCAGAAGUUUGUAUUUUUGACCGGUUUCAGAGGAUCCAAGGUUUUGCUCCGCUUGUAUUUGUAGGACAUAAAUUGCAUUGUUAUAAAAGCUAAUAACGUGACUUGACAGAAUUCAGUUAUCAUAAAAAUGUAUUUCAAUUGUAGAAGCA